AUUGAACGCUGGCGGCAUGCCUUACACAUGCAAGUCGAACGGUAACAGGUUAAGCUGACGAGUGGCGAACGGGUGAGUAAUGUAUCGGAACGUGCCCAGUCGUGGGGGAUAACUGCUCGAAAGAGCAGCUAAUACCGCAUACGACCUGAGGGUGAAAGCGGGGGAUCGCAAGACCUCGCGCGAUUGGAGCGGCCGAUAUCAGAUUAGGUAGUUGGUGAGGUAAAGGCUCACCAAGCCGACGAUCUGUAGCUGGUCUGAGAGGACGACCAGCCACACUGGGACUGAGACACGGCCCAGACUCCUACGGGAGGCAGCAGUGGGGAAUUUUGGGCAAUGGGCGCAAGCCUGAUCCAGCCAUGCCGCGUGCGGGAAGAAGGCCUUCGGGUUUUAAAACGCUUUUGUCAGGGAAGAAAAGGUUCUGGCUAAUACCUGGGACUCAUGACGGUACCUGAAGAAUAAGCACCGGCUAACUACGUG
rnacentral:rRNA from 1 species